CCUCCUCUCAUUGCUACAGGAGCAACCACGCCUGCUCCACUCUGCGGCAAAGGCUGGGCUGUGGUCUGCAGAGCUUUAACCCUCCCCCUCCUGCUCCAAGCCAGGGAGCUGUCGUAGGGCUUUGCAGCUGCAGUGUUUCUGCUUUAGAAACUUCUGGAAUAAGCGGCCAAGCUGGGGAGAGGAGAGAACCCUUUACACUCACAGAGGAGCAAAGCACAUAGUAAAAGGGACAGAAAUGCACAAGGAUCUGAGGCACCUGUCUCCGUGCAGAAUCAUGUGCACAAGUCUCACCAGUGUCUUUUGCAUCCUGGCUUGGUUGUUUUUCAGCCUCCUUAUAAAAUAAACUCCCAAACAAAAACAAAGCCCAAAAAAUGGGGGUGUUUGGAGCUCUAAAUGGUGGAAUAAAGGAACUGAUUCUUCCUGCUGGACCUACAGAAAAUCCUUGUCAUUUAAGUUUGUUGAACUAAUUGGUCCUCUCUUUUCGUUACACUGAAUGGUUGGGGGCUUUGUCUGAGCUGGAGUAUAUUUGACUGCGUUUGCAGCUUCAGUUAUGAUUUUUUUCUUUUUGUUCUGUUGGUUGCUUUUUUUUUUUGGUUUCGUAAUUUAAACAGUCCUCCCCAAAUAUCCCAAGGAAAACCUGCAUCUCUGUGGAACACAUUAAAAAAUAAGGCACAAACUUCCACCAUGGAUUCUUAAAAUGAGAUGGGUUUUUUUAAUUUUUUUUGGUGAUGGCAUUUUUUUCUUCUGCUUUUAGGAUAUGUUGUAGUAGAAAGCCAAUGGAGGAAUGCAAAGCAUUGGAUCGAUAUUACUUCACACUGACAGCUUGCAGCCCAGACACCCGUCUUCCAUUAAACCUCUGACAGGGCUCGAGCAAACAAGGAAGCAGAUGAAAGAAAAGUACUGGGGAGUGAAGGAGGACUUGGAGUAAGGGAAUUUCCCUGUCGAUGUUAAAUACAGCUCCGUACUGCUGGCAGGUCGCAUGGCUUUCGGGUUUUUCCAGAUCAAAUGCAAAUGGUUUGGUCUUUGAUGCAACAGAGAGGAGCACUGGGUUGUCCAUGUGCUGGUAAAAUGUUUGCUAAACCACGUAAUCCAGUCCAUCACUCCACCCUGAUUACUGUGCCAUGCUGUAUGGAUUUUUCUAAUGAGGCCCACAGGAUUUCUUGUGGGUAUGAUGCAACGCGGAGCGACUGUUACUAUUCUGCCUAGAGGGGUUUGCACAUAUGCAGUUUCACUGUCAUCUCUAAUCCUUAGUUCCAAUUUGGGAUUCCAAGACACUUCAAAGGCUUAUUUUAACACAUGCUGCUUCUGCUUCACUUUUCCAUCCCUUAUGGAACCCUCGCUUUAGUUCAAUUUUCACGCUGCGCAAGAGAUGUGAAUACAUCCCCCAUGAAGGUUAGAAAGCUUUUUAAUAUAAGGGGAGGAGCAUGAGAUGUAGAUCCUAAACCUAUUUCAUUUUCCCAUUGCUGGCAUUAAAAACUUUGUGGGGUGAAAGUCGGAAUCUGUUGAAGUCAUUGACUUCAACAGGGCCAGGAUUUCACCCCUGGAUUUCUCUUCCAGACAACAAGAGCUCUGGGGUUUGAUCCUCCAUAAUGCUGCACCUCGUGCCGUCAUUUACACCCUGGAAAAGAGUGGCAAAUCAGAAUGGUAGCAUUUUGCAAAGCUGUAACAAGGUGCAGGGCAAUGGAGAAUCUCUAGAACAGUAUGUUUAAUUGGCCUUUGUGGAUUCCAGAAAGCUCAUACUGUAUAUUAAGAAUACAUUUGUCAAUAGUAUAUAAAGGGUUAAUAAUUGAUUAAUAACUAUAGAAGCAUAAAAAGUAUGUUUUAUAGUUAGAAGCACUGCAGGACAAGGUACUACACAUAUGGUUGUUGGCAGUGUUGUUGUAGCUGCAUUGGUACCAGGAUUUGAAAGAGACAAAUUGGCGGUGGUAAUAUCUUUUAUUGGACCAACUUCUUUUGGAGAAAGAGACAAACUUUGGAGACACACAAAGCUCUUCUUCAGGUCUGGGAAAGGCAACCAGAGUGCCAGAGAUCAAUAGAAGGUAGGAUAGAUUGUUUAUCAUAAAGGGGUAACAUGUUACAGGAGACCAUGUAAAAUGCAAUGCACAAUAGCACCUCUGCACUGCAAUCACAGGACAAAGGGGGGUUAAUGGGUUACAAAUGUUUGUAAUGGGUUGUUGCUGAGUCCAUGUUUUUUAAAGUGUAGCAGAAUUGAGUUUAAGCUCCCAGGCUGGUCUUUUGAAGUUGUUGAGCAGGUUUGCUUUCGAAGACUGACCGAUCAGAUACAGAGUGAUUAUUUUGUGAAAAGCGUCUGCUCACAGGUGAUAGAGCAUUUUUACCUUUUAUUGUUUUUCCCAUGUGAGUUCAUUUGAGAGCAUUCAUUUGAGGUGCAAAACCUGCAGACAUAUCUCCACUGCUAUGAUGAUCAACACCUCCAUAACACGCCCCUCAAGACCCAUGGGUCCUAAACAUGCCUAUCACGACAUGUGAUGUACCUCCUCCAGGGCCUCAAAUGCCCCAACAUGCAUGUGGGUGAAACCAGAUAAUCACUAAACUCUCAAAUGAACCACACAGAAAAAUGGUUAAAGACAAUGCACCCUAUCACUUGUGGGUGAGCACUUUUCACAAUCCCUCUGUAUUGUCCUCAAACACCUUUAAAAGACAAGCCUGGGAGCUUACAUUCAUAACUCUGCUAGACUCUAAAACAACAUGGACUCAACCAGAGACAGUGGCUUUAUGGCUCAUUACAACAAUUUGUAACCAACUAAACCUCCUUUGCCCUUCGACUGCACAGGUGCUAAUUGCCCACUUCAUUUUAAGUGGUCUCCUGCAACAUGUAAAAUCCCACCAAAUGAGGGUAGAUCCAUCCUCAUCAUGGCAUCCGCUCAUUACACUCCACACCUCAACGUAGCCAUUAUAUAGACAACAUACCCCCAUAUCUCAAUGUCUGUACUUUGACCCGUUAAACUUUUACCCCCAAUCAGGGAGAUUGCCGAUUAUGUAUUCCUUACGCCACCUGCUCCUAAACUGAAUUUUGCACCUCUUGAUACAAAUCUGUACCUUAUUCCCUGAUAACCAGAAACUUCUAUGCCUAAACUCUGUACCGUUUUCUUUUUAUUUCAACAUUAUCUUAAUAAAAUUAUUAUACCCCAUUGUGGUUAACACUCUCUCCCACCUAAUAUUUAGCUGUUACACUCAGGUUACCUUUCCCAGACCUGAAGAAGAGCUCUGUAGAGCUCGAAAGCAUGUGUCUUUCACCAACAGAAGCUGGUCCAAUAGCAGAUAUUACUUUCCCUACCUUGUCUCUUUUAUGUAUGGUUAUAAGUCAUCGUUAUAAGCAACCUACUGACCUGUUGGACUUGCUGAUUAACCAAGUAUUAAAACAUCUAUUAAUAAUAAUUUAUUACGCCGUUACUCACUAUAUUAAAUGUACAUUUAUAAAUAAAGUAGAGAUCCAGAAAAGACCACUUAAAGGGACACUGUCAACUUGAAGUCUAAUUUAAAAAAAAAAAAAGUAAAGAAUUUAAAGGAUUAUCCAGUGCUCUACCUGCCUCUGAGUCUUGCCAGGUUUUUGUUUGUUUGUUUGUUUGACAAUAAUUUUCUAAUUCAUUCCCUCCCUCCCUCCCUCCCGUCCUUGUUGCUGUGUGGAAGCCCCACACAAACAAACAAGGGACUCUGAAUGUGCAGGGGCAACCGUGCAACUUGAUUCUACAGAGAGAGGUGAAAUGCAUAAAGAAAGCAUGCUGGGGGGAAAAGGACAUAUUAGAGGGGCAAAAAGAAAAGGAGUACUUGUGGCACCUUAGAGACUUUCUUUUUGCGAAUACAGACUAACACGGCUGCUACUCUGAAACCUGUGAUAUUAGAGGGGGGAAUUGUCUGUCACAAUCAUUUUGUUAUUUGGAACAACAGAAGGGAAAAUGAUUCAGAUAGCGGUGUGAUAUCUUUGAUAAUAUGCAGAAAUCAAGCUGACAGCUGUCUGUCUCCUCCAUAAUUUAAUACACAGUACAUAAAAUAUUAGAGAAAGGUUGCUAGAAAAAUCAUUCAUCUGUGUACAUAACCAGUGCUUUGGCUGCAGUUUAUGGUUAUGUAAAUCAGAAGUGCUUUCGCUGACCCCUGGUGGCUAUGAAAAUAAUUCAGGGUGGAUCAAAACAAAAACGCAUUUUCAAAACAAAAAACCUUUUAAAACAAUUCGAUAGCACUUUCCCCCCUGAAAAGCUCAGAGAGAAAACUCUAAGCCUACAAUCGGGGGCUGGAACAGUUUUUAUAGUGGGGGUGCUGAGAGCCAUUGAACCAAACUGUAACCCCAGAUAUGAUGGAAACCACUUCAACCAGCACCACUAGUUCCAGUUCCAGAGGGGCAAGAGCUGGUUUGGAAUCUGACAUUCUGUUCUGUUCGAUAGGUUCUUAGCCCACCCUCAUUGCCACAGUAUCUAAGCAUCUUCCCAUUGUACAUUAAGGAUAUGUCUACACCACACAAAAAACCCUCAGCAAGUCUCAGAGUCCAGGUCAACUGCCUUGGGCUCCCAGUGUUCACGCUGCAGUAGACGUCCAUGCUCAGGCUGGAGCCUGGGUUCCAAUACCCUCCCCCCCUCACUGGGUUUGAGAGGCCA